CGCAGCAGCUCUCAGCAGAUAGAAAACUUUGCAGCAAAGAUGAAGAACCGCUUUCCUAAAGCUCCUGUCAAACAUCUCGGCACCUUUGUCACACUCGUUGUAAUUUUCAUCAACAAUGUUGUGCUUAACAACGACAUGGUGUGCAAUUGUGAAAAUAGAUGGAUUGGAUGUGAUGUCUACAUGGCUAUACCAUUCAUUGUCGUAUUUGUUUUAGAACUCUGGACGCACAAGACUUUGAGAUAUAUAUAUUACUGUAUGAGAAGUGGUGUUUUGAUUAUGUUUCAUGACAUAAUCAAGGCAGCGUGCAUCGGUUCACUGUGGGUCGUAUUCGUGCUCCUCGAUGGAGACUGGUAUGUUUGCUGUAUGACCAAAGACGAGGCAACCUGCAAAAAAUGUACGUUAGGUAAAUACAAAAAAAACAUCUCAGUUGAGGACGAACACACCAUCGCUGCACUGAAAAACGAGUCUAUGAUGAUUGCCUUGGGUGUGCUCAUUUGUUGCCUGCUAUUAGCUGCUAUAAUCUCAGGUUUACGGUGGAAAUGCUUCAAGGAUUCAGGUUUACGGUGUAAAUGCUUCGAGGAUUCAGGUUUAUGUUGUAAAUGCUUCAAGGAUUCAGAUUGUUGCGACAGAAAAACGUUAUACAAGCAAGUGAUUCUGGACGAGGAGGAAAAUGCGCUGAGAGAGUUUUUGACAGCAGCGGCGAAAGACAAGUUGAAAGAGACCUUCAUGGCAGACCCAGAAGCAGCAGGAAUAGCAGCAGACGCACCAGCAGCAGCAGCAGGAGUAGCAGCAGACGCACCAUCAGCAGCUGAAGAAAACAUCCAACUGCUGGAUACAGUGAAGGUGGAGACAGCCGGUGUCUCCAUUAUGGAUGCGACUCCAGGUUCAUCGUGCAGUAAAGAUGCUAUGAUGCUUCAAACCUACACAUGGAGCUUUAAUCUGGGAUUUAAAUGUUUUUAUUGGGAUUUUUUUAAAUGUUAGGGUUAGAAAUGUUUCUAUGAUUUAUAUAUUUUGUAUUCGCUUGCAGCACCAAAUGCAACUCAAUCAAGUGUUUUGAUUACAUUUUCCUCUACAGUAGUUUAGAUGUUGCUUUCACAGCUAGAUGUGACGUUUUACUCCAAAAACAUUUACAAAAGACUGAAAAAACAAAAAGGCUCAAACAUCUUGAGGAGAGCUUUACCCUGCAAGAUAUGUGCCGACUACAUCUAUGUAUAAAUAUACAUUUACGGUGUGACAGUUAAAUGAAGUGUUUGACUGUGUGUCACUCACCUUACAUUUAUUCUUUAAGGAUUAUGUGUAUCAUUAACAAGUUAUUCAACCUGUGAAACGUUCAUAAGAGUUUGCUUGCUGAAGUACUGAUAUACAAUUGUACUUGUUUAAACUUCUUUAGCGUUAUGUUUCAUUCAUAGAUUAAACUGUGUGUCAGGGGAGGAACUUUGUUCUCCUAAUGGAUGUCAUCAAGAGGAAGGGAAUAAAAGGGAUUUUAUUUGUAUCUUUUGUCAUUUGUAUUUUUGAUCACAUUGUUUAAGAAUGUUUUAUGGUUUUAUAAAGGUUGUG
ensembl:lncRNA uncharacterized LOC115010445